UGGUGGGUAGUUUGACUGGGGCGGUCUCCUCCCAAAGAGUAACGGAGGAGCACGAAGGUUAGCUAAUCCUGGUCGGACAUCAGGAGGUUAGUGCAAUGGCAUAAGCUAGCUUGACUGCGAGAGUGACGGCUCGAGCAGGUGCGAAAGCAGGUCAUAGUGAUCCGGUGGUUCUGAAUGGAAGGGCCAUCGCUCAACGGAUAAAAGGUACUCCGGGGAUAACAGGCUGAUACCGCCCAAGAGUUCAUAUCGACGGCGGUGUUUGGCACCUCGAUGUCGGCUCAUCACAUCCUGGGGCUGAAGUAGGUCCCAAGGGUAUGGCUGUUCGCCAUUUAAAGUGGUACGCGAGCUGGGUUUAGAACGUCGUGAGACAGUUCGGUCCCUAUCUGCCGUGGGCGCUGGAGAAUUGAGGGGGGCUGCUCCUAGUACGAGAGGACCGGAGUGGACGCAUCACUGGUGUUCGGGUUGUCAUGCCAAUGGCACUGCCCGGUAGCUAAAUGCGGAAAAGAUAAGUGCUGAAAGCAUCUAAGCACGAAACUUGCCCCGAGAUGAGUUCUCCCUGACCCUUUAAGGGUCCUGAAGGAACGUUGAAGACGACGACGUUGAUAGGUCGGGUGUGUAAGCGCAGCGAUGCGUUGAGCUAACCGAUACUAAUGAACCGUGAGGCUUAAC
rnacentral:rRNA from 1 species